GUGAAUCAUCAAAUUUUUGAACGCAAAUUGCUCUCUCUGGUAUUCCGGAGAGUAUGCCUGUUUGAGGGUCAGUUUUAAUAAAAAUCGGUGUGGUUGCUGCCUUUCGUGGUUACGCACCGGAUUUGGGUCGUCUUGCCUUCGGUUAAGUGACCUAAAAUUUUCCAUGUUUUUUUUCGAACGUAUUUAAAUGAUUUUUCGUAUGUUUGCGAUAUCGAAAUCUCGGAGUGGUCAUCCUCA
rnacentral:misc_RNA from 1 species